UUGAUGUGGGGGGAUUCGACCCCUUCCGUGUUCGAAGCUUAACGCGAUUAAGCUCACCGCCUGAGGAGUACGGCCGCAAGGCUUAAACUCAAAGAAAUUGACGGGGACCCGCACAAGCGGUGGAGUAUGUGGCUUAAUUCGAAUGCAACGCGAAGAACCUUACCUGGCCAUGACAUGCAUUGUGUCGUCGGUGAAAGCCGGCUAGUCCUGGAAACAGGACGCUUUGCACAGGUGCUGCAUGGCUGUCGUCAGCUCGUGUCAGUGAGAUGUUGGGUUAAGUCCCGCAACGAGCGCAACCCUUGUGGUCAGUUACUAACCGGCUUAGCCGGAGGACUCUGGCCAGACUGCCCUGUCAAACGGGGAGGAAGGUGGGGACGACGUCAAGUCAGUAUGGCCCUUAUGGCCAGGGCUGCACACGUACUACAAUGCCCGGUACAAUGUGAACCGAAACCGCGAGGUGGAGGAAAUCGCUCUUGAAAACCGGGCGCAGUUCGGAUUGGAGUCUGCAACUCGACUCCAUGAAGUCGGUAUCGCUAGUAAUGGCGCAUCAGCAACGACGCCGUGAAUACGUUCCCGGGUCUUGUACACACC
rnacentral:rRNA from 1 species